UGGCUCCCCAGACCACUAUGUCUUGUAUAACAAAUUCCAUGAGGCCAAUACCAAAGACCCACAGGAAGUGUUGAGGAGGAUCAACCUGGUUUCCAGAACUUCAGGGUUCAUUGAAUAGCCAGGUGGCCGAGCAACUUUUUUCAUGUAUGCGCAAAAACAACUACUUCCUCAAUAACAUGGCACCCUCAACUUUUUUUUGAUGAGAAACCUAAUACAUCACAGAAACAACAAAACGAAUGCACAGCUUUUAGAAAAGCAACUACAGAGAGGACGUGAGUCACAUCGUUUGCAAGACAUCAAACUUGACAAAAUUGGACAAGCAGUAUUUGGACCCCCAGCACCUGAUAUGCCUACACAGCAUCAUCCUGCAGUAGCUGGAACACCUCAGUAGCUACAUGGGCUCCCCAUCGACCCAAACACAGACAGUAAUGCCUGUGGACCACAUUGUGAAAUGAUCACAAAAAGUGAGAAUGUGAGACCAUGCCAAGCAUCAUGGACCUUCAAGCUUCAUCCUGCCCAAGAGCAGCUGAUAGGAAAUGCGUGCUUUGAAGUUAUUGAGAAAAUUGCUCAAUCACAGGUAUAAAACAUCAUUAAAGCUG